GAGCCCAUAGCUCAGUCGGUAGAGCAUCUCACUUUUAAUGAGAGGGUCGAUGGUUCGAGUCCAUCUGGGCUCACCA
rnacentral:tRNA from 1 species